CGUGAAGUUGGAAUCGCUAGUAAUCGCGGAUCAGCAUGCCGCGGUGAAUACGUUCCCGGGCCUUGUACACACCGCCCGUCACACCAUGAGAGCCGGUAACACCCGAAGUCAGUAGUCUAACCGCAAGGGGACGCUGCCGAAGGUGGGGCUGGUGAUUGGGGUGAAGUCGUAACAAGGUAUC
rnacentral:rRNA from 1 species